UACGUAGGGUGCAAGCGUUGUCCGGAAUUAUUGGGCGUAAAGGGCUCGUAGGCGGUCCAUCGCGUCGGGAGUGAAAAGCUGGGGCUUAACCCCAGUCCUGCUUCCGAUACGGGUGGACUAGAGGUAGGUAGGGGAGAACGGAAUUCCUGGUGUAGCGGUGAAAUGCGCAGAUAUCAGGAGGAACACCGGUGGCGAAGGCGGUUCUCUGGGCCUUACCUGACGCUGAGGAGCGAAAGCAUGGGGGGCAAACAGG
rnacentral:rRNA from 1 species